rnacentral:misc_RNA from 1 species
UUUCUUUUAAUUUAAAUUGUUUAAUUUUAAUUGAAAAUAUCCUUUAACAGCUUAUUAGAUGUUUCAUUCUUAAAAUAUUAAGAAUAUGAGUGACGGAACAAUCUAGUACAAGAGUUAUAAAUUUUGGUUCACGGUCAAGGAUACCUCAUUACGUAUGAUUUAUCCGUAUAUACUGUCACUUCUGUUUGUUUCCAUAGAUUAGUAUAAGAUAUUAAUAAGAUGGAAUAGUAAGUCUCAUGCUACAUAACAAACAUGAUGGACACUUACAAGAUAAGUAGGUUGACCAUUGGUAUUUAUAAGAUAAGUAGGCUGAACUAGUAACAUUAAGAUAAUAUGUACGUGAAGUUUAUUCUUGUCAAUACAUUAUCAUCUAGAUCAUAAUAGUACGUAUAAUCUCUUGACCUGAGAUGACACGGUUAUCUUAUAUAUAGGUGGUUUAAGUUUGAUACAGCUUACAUACUUGUACUGAGUAUGAGCAUAAGGGCGUGUGUUGUCUCCAACUAAUUAUAUAUGGAGAUAGGUUUUAAGUCAAGAUGGAAUCUAUUGCCCUAAGUAAAUAGGAAUAAAAUUCUAUGUCUAUCUUAAU